GUUUGGGGGACGUUUUACGAGUGACUGGUUUCUACAACAAUGAGCCAUAAUUUCGUUUCGUGGGAAGACAAAAUUCUUUUUUGAGCAUCGACAUGGACAAGACAUACGAAGAAGAUCUCUUCAAGGAAGUGACAAACGCAAAGCUCCUACUUGAGCCACAUGACCUAAUGCUAGUUAAUUUCACUAGCCGUGUGGAUUCCUCCUUGUUUCCAGGACACUACGUACUCUAUUGGGAACUUGGGAGCAAAGUCAAGGAUGUGAAGCUAGAGCCCGACCCUAAGGUAACUAAAAGAGACACGAGGAAUACGAGUUCCCAAGGCUGUUAAUGAAGCACUCGGUACAUCUCGGAGGAUCAAGAGAUACUGUAUCAGUGUGAUACAAUCACUCACCAGAUUAUCACGUCACUCACCCAAGCAUAAGAAACAGAGUACACAUACAAUAAAGAUGAUCUCACACCCCAAUCCUCACGUGUUUCUCUCACCCUCUCUGCUCUCCUUUGUGACGAGAACUUUUCUUGAUAAUCCCCAGGACUUGCCAGCUCAGAAGAUUCUAACGGCUUGCUCUUGGACUGACCCUUUAACACAAAGCUUCGUGUGAAACUCCAAAACCCACACAGUAUUUUACUUUGCUUUUGGGAUUUACUUGGAAUACUGCUUCUCUCGGUUGAACCUCACAUCAACUAUCUUGGCCCAACACUGCAAAACUCCAAGCCCAAACCCGGAAAUGGGUAAAUCACACGCGACAAAAGGUUAUGGAGGAAUGCUGCUUCACCAUCAAGGAAUGUCUUGACUCUGUGUAUAGAAAAGGAAGAACGAAUGAUAAGAACAUUGGACCAUUAGAUAUUAAAGUUGUUAGGAGUGGUGGCUUUGAUGAGCUUAUGAGUUUCUUCGUUUCUCGAGGCUCUUCUGUGAGUCAAUACAAGACGCCGAGGUCGUUGACUAAUGAAGAGGCCUUGAAGAUAUUGAAGGCGACAGUUGUUUCUAGCUUUGUUAGCAGGAAGGUUCUAUCGUGGGAGCUACAUAAGUUGCAUUCCAACCGAUAAGACCAUCGUUGUUUCAUGCUUGGGACUUGAGGGAAUAGGAGUUACAAGUAAUGUAAUCGAGUACAAUAAGUCCAUCUCGAUCGUCCAGUCAUGUUCUAUAUUAGUCUUUUGUUGUUGUUUGUUAAUCUUCUUUCUUUUCUGAUAAAAGAAAAAAAAAGACAAUCUUCUUUUUUUUUUUCCCAAACUGAAAUUUAUAUAUAAAAGAUGGGUCAAGCCCAGAUACAUGUUCAAGACCAAACCACCAAGCCCAAGCAACAUAAACCCAAAAAACAACCCAAAACCGGACCAACAUCGGUUUACACUAACCAGAAGAAAACCGACCAAAUUGUCAUCUUAUUAAACGGGCCUACGCCCACACCCAACCGAACCCGGCAUCUUCCAACAGGCCCAAGGUCAAGGAGGCCCAACCGCAAAAUGCAGUCUUCGAU